CCUACGGGAGGCAGCAGUGGGGGAUAUUGCACAAUGGGGGGAACCCUGAUGCAGCGACGCCGCGUGGGUGAAGAAGCGCCUCGGCGCGUAAAGCUCUGUCAGCAGGGAAUAAAAUGACGGUACCUGAAGAAGAAGCACCUGCUAACUACGUGACAGCAGCCGCGGGAAUACGGAGGGGGCAAGCGGUAACCGGAUUUAAGGGGGGGAAAGGGGGCGCAGACGGCGAUGCAAGCCAGGAGUGAAAGCCCGGGGCCCAACCCCGGGACUGCUCUUGGAACUGCGUGGCUGGAGUGCAGGAGGGGCAGGCGGAAUUCCUGGUGUAGGGGUGAAAUGCGUAGAUAUCAGGAGGAACACCGGUGGCGAAGGCGGCCUGCUGGACUGCAACUGACGUUGAGGCCCGAAAGCGUGGGGAGCAAACAGGAUUAGAUACCCUUGUAGUC
rnacentral:rRNA from 1 species